GGCUGAAUGGACACUGCCUCCGUACAGGUAGACAUGGAGGAGCUCCGUGGCAUGUGGCUGAACGGACACUGCCUGUGUACAGGUAGACAUGGAGGAGCUCCGUGGCACGUGGCUGAAUGGACACUGCCUCUGUACAGGUAGACAUAGAGGAGCUCCGUGGCACGUGGCUGAAUGGACAGCGUCUAUGUCUAGUAGCUAGAAUUAUUCAGUUUGUGGCCAGUUAGACAUUUUUGGGGCAUGGUUGAGUAAGUAGCCUACAAUGCUUAUAUGCAAAUCAUAACCGGCACGCAGAUCUUUAGAGAUGGUAGGAUCAUUUGUAAAUUGGCACUCACAUGGAAAAGGUUGCCCACCGCCUGCUAUUGGCUAUAUGAAGCCACCCUCGUGGAACGGCGCAUACAGUGUACUAUGACAGUGUCGUCUCAUGUGAUUCCCACCAAAAUUGUUGCCUUGCAUUCAGAGCAGUGUUGCCAACUCCUCAGUAAGGAAAGUAGCUAUUGGCUGUCCUAAAAGUCGCUAGAAUUCGCCAAAUGACAUCAUCACCAAAUUUUCAUAAUUGUCCAUGUGCAUGUAAUUGUGAUGGAUGCUGUCGGAGAGAGGAAUAACUUCGUGGGAGGCAAAAAAUUUCCUCAAACUUCAGUGUUUCCUUUCAAAUGGUACAAAGAAUAUGCAUAUCCUUGCUUCAUGUCCUGAGCUCCAGGCAGUUAGAUUUGGACGGCAUCCCGUUCACCGCCCGCAAUCACAGGGCUCUCGAGAGGGUGGUGCGGUCUGCCCAACGCAUCCCCGGGGCACACUGCCCUUCAGGACCCCUACAGCACCCGAUGUCACAGGAAGGCCAAAAAGAUCAUUAAGGACAUCAACCACCCGAGCCACAGGCUGUUCACCCCGCUAUCAUCCAGAAGGCGAGGUCAGUACAGGUGCAUCAAAGCUGGGACCGAGAGACUGAAAAACAGCUUCUAUCUCAAGGCCCUCAGACUGUUAAACAGCCAUCACUAGCUUAGAGGCUGCUGCCCUAUAUACUGUAUAUACACAUGGAAUCACUGGCCACUUUAAUAAUGGAACACUAGUCACUU